rnacentral:lncRNA from 1 species
UUCCAAGUCUCCAAUAGCCACCCAUUGCCACCCCCUUUACCUCUCCUCCCACUUCCCAAUUCAGCCCAACUCAAAUGGCAACAGAGAGAGCUCAUAAUGUUCAUGCACUUUGGCAUGAACACCUUCACAGACUCAGAGUGGGGAACAGGGCACGAAAGCCCGACCACCUUCGCACCAACCUCUCUCGACACAAGCCAAUGGGCUCGAGUAGCCAAGGACUCGGGCUUCUCUCUCGUCAUACUCACCGCUAAGCACCAUGAUGGCUUCUGCUUAUGGCCCUCAAAAUACACAGAUCACUCUGUGAAAUUCAGUCCAUGGAAGAAUGGAACAGGGGAUGUGGUCCAUGACUUUGUGGACUCGGCUCGAGCCCAGGGCUUGGAUGUGGGCUUGUACCUCUCGCCAUGGGAUCGGCACGAGCACACUUAUGGGCGCGACUUGCCUUAUAAUGAGUUCUAUUUGGGCCAGCUACAGGAAUUGCUAAGAAGGUAUAGGACUUAAUUUCAUGUUCAUUUCUUUUAGUUGAUAGUAUAAUUUUAUUUUAUGAGCAUAAUUUGAUUCGUUAGCGACAUAAUGGUAAGCUAUCAUGACCGAUAGAAAUUUGGGGGGACUUUUUUUUUUGUUUGUUUUUGGUGGUAUGAUGGUUCGUUUGUUCUUCACCUAUGGGGAAAAAGAAAAAAUAAAAGGAAUUUGAUAAGUUUAUUUUAUCAGCAUAAUUUGAUUAGCUAGCGACGUAAUGGUUAGUUAUAAUGACCAAUAGAAAUUUGGGGGUCUUUUUUUUUUUUUGGGUGAUAUGAUGUUUUGUUUGUUCUUCACCAAUGGGUAAAAAGAAAAAGAGGAUUUGAAAAGUAAGGGGAAAAAAAAAGAAGAGAAGUACGCCGAAUAACAAAAGUUAGGAUGAAGUUUCGAUAGGGCGAAAACAAAAUAAAGCCUCAACUCAAAUGCUCAUCCAAAAGGCACUUUCGGCAUUAGGAAUCUUUAUGAUGGCUCUAAAAUUAAUUUUCAACACUGACAACAAAAUUUGAAACUCAAAAAUUCUCUAAAAUUAAUUUCAACACCGGCAAUAAAACUUAAAACUCAAAAAUUGAUUCAGAUCUUGUGGAUUUGUAAGCAUUUAUUUUUUGGACGAAUUGGAUGGUCAAGAUUAUUUGUUGCUAUAUACACUAUUUUUAGAUUUUAAAAUCCUAAUUUUUUUGCACAACCAUAAUGUUCAUGUUGAGAUGAUCGAUUUAAAGGUUGUUCCACACUUGCAUUGCAAUUUUUGAUGAGUUAUGAGGUGACACAGUACAAUACGAUAAAGAUGCAGCCCUAUCAAACCAUUCUCGGACAAAUUACGUGAAAAACGCACUAACUUUUUCUUUGCCCUUUUUAUAAAAUCAUGGUGCGUUUGCUUUCCACGCUCAUUGUCCUUUGGACAUGAAAAAUUUAUGGUACCACACUCUUGGUUGUUUUGUAUGUAGCAUGCUGGUCUCUACCAUCUCUUUGCAAUAACAUAUAGCAACGGGGAUCAGUAUAAAAAUUAAUAUUUGAAAAUGUAGACAUGGGUUUGGACUCAGCAGGCGCUCAAGUCCAUAGAGAAUUGGCUGUGUCAGAAGUCCAACUAGGCCAUUUUUUAGGGACAGUAACAAGGACCCUAGGUUUUGGGUGACUCCGUACAGAAUCUAGGGCCCGAGUUCGAACGCACUCUAAGUGAUUCCAAAUCGGUUCAGGGAUGUUUAUAUCAGUGAUAUAAACAGCAUAUUCAUGUUAUAUACUAGACAAACCGAAGGUAAACAAAUUAUGGAAAAGUUGCCAUUACAUACGGUAUACUUUUCCUGAACUUAUUUAUGAUAAGAAAAGGGAAAGUAGAGAAUAAGGGAGUAGUACACAACAAACGCCAACAUAUUAACUAAGAAUGGCAAAGUAUGGAAUGAGGGGAAAAUAUGCAAUAUGACUAUUUACUUUUGAUACAACAUCACAAUUGCCUUUAACUGUUAAAUGAUAUCAAACAUGCUUAAAGUACAAAGUAAUUUUUUUNNNNNNNNNNNNNNNNNNNNCUUCCAAGUCUCCAAUAGCCACCCAUUGCCACCCCCUUUACCUCUCCUCCCACUUCCCAAUUCAGCCCAACUCAAAUGGCAACAGAGAGAGCUCAUAAUGUUCAUGCACUUUGGCAUGAACACCUUCACAGACUCAGAGUGGGGAACAGGGCACGAAAGCCCAACCACCUUCGCGCCAACCUCUCUCGACACAAGCCAAUGGGCUCGAGUAGCCAAGGACUCGGGCUUCUCUCUCGUCAUACUCACCGCUAAGCACCAUGAUGGCUUCUGCUUAUGGCCCUCAAAAUACACAGAUCACUCCGUGAAAUUCAGUCCAUGGAAGAAUGGAACAGGGGAUGUGGUCCAUGAGUUUGUGGACUCGGCUCGAGCCCAGGGCUUGGAUGUGGGCUUGUACCUCUCGCCAUGGGAUCGGCACGAGCACACUUAUGGGCGCGACUUGCCUUAUAAUGAGUUUUAUUUGGGCCAGCUACAGGAAUUGCUAAGAAGGUAUAGGACUUAAUUUCAUGUUCAUUUCUUUUAGUUGAUAGUAUAAUUUUAUUUUAUGAGCAUAAUUUGAUUCGUUAGCGACAUAAUGGUAAGUUAUCAUGACCGAUAGAAAUUUGGGGGGACUUUUUUUUUUGUUUGUUUUUGGUGGUAUGAUGGUUUGUUUGUUCUUCACCUAUGGGGAAAAAGAAAAAAUAAAAGGAAUUUGAUAAGUUUAUUUUAUAAGCAUAAUUUGAUUAGCUAGCGACGUAAUGGUUAGUUAUAAUGACCAAUAGACAUUUGGGGGUUUUUUUUUUUUUUUUGGGUGAUAUGAUGUUUUGUUUGUUCUUCACCAAUGGGUAAAAAGAAAAAGAGGAUUUGAAAAGUAAGGGGAAAAAAAAAAGAAGAGAAGUACGCCGAAUAACAAAAGUUAGGAUGAAGUUUCGAUAGGGCGAAAACAAAAUAAAGCCUCACCUCAAAUGCUCAUCCAAAAAGCACUUUCGGUAUUAGGAAUCUUUAUGAUGGCUCUAAAAUUAAUUUUCAACACUGACAAUAAAAUUUGAAACUCAAAAAUUCUUUAAAAUUAAUUUCAACACCG